AGGACUAACGCUGGCGGCGUGCCUAACACAUGCAAGUCGAACGAGAGUAGCAAUACUCUAGUGGCAGACGGGUGAGUAACACGUGGUCAACCUACCUUUAAGUGGGGGAUAACUAGCCGAAAGGUUAGCUAAUACCGCAUACGAUCGUCGAGUGGCAUCACACGACGAUGAAAGGAGCAAUCCGUUGAGAGAGGGGACUGCGUCCCAUUAGUUAGUUGGUGGGGUAAUGGCCUACCAAGACUCCGAUGGGUAGCUGGCUUGAGAGAGCGACCAGCCACACUGGAACUGAGACACGGUCCAGACUCCUACGGGAGGCAGCAGUGAGGAAUUUUCCGCAAUGGGGGAAACCCUGACGGAGCGACGCCGCGUGUGGGAAGAAGGCCUUCGGGUCGUAAACCACGUGUCGAGGGGGACGAGUAUUGACGGUACCCCUGGGAGGAAGCCCCGGCUAACUACGUGCCAGCAGCCGC
rnacentral:rRNA from 1 species